rnacentral:lncRNA from 1 species
AGCGAUACGACACCAAAUGUGGAGGCUUAUUACACUUGUUUCCUAACCCUGAUCGCAUCAGCAAGCGCGCGUGAUUGUUGUAUCCUGUCCAAAGUAAUAGAAGACACCUUUUUUUUUUUUUUUUUUUUACCUUUGCUGGGAGACGGGAGCGCCAUGAUGACUUCUGAAAUCAACACGACCCGUUCCUACGAGAGCAAACUGGAACCAUGGAGCCCACCAAUCAGGAGCCAGAGAUCUGCGGUCCCGCCUCCAUCGCCUAACCCUGCCAAUCAGGAAGUGCACCAUUCUCAAUAAUGGACGGGAAACACGGGCCACGUCUGUCCCGGAGCGCAGCAGGCCAUGACCGAGAGGCAAAGCACCGUGAAGCCGAUCGGAAGACAGUAACCUUCAGUGACGGGAUACUUCUCCUUUGAGGUGGGUUUAUACUCCGUAGAUCUCCCAAAUAUCAGCGAGGACCUUUAUUUACAGUGCUAGCUUUCCUGACGGGGCUAGCUUGCUCGUUAACCAUAGGUCUGUGACAUUGCACGUGUUUCCCUGCGCUGCUUAAAGGACACUGAGAAUAAACGCGGAUCAUUUGACUUUACACAUCUCGAGAGAUGUAGGAAAUGUGUCCGGGUGUGUUUUAUUGCUUUCUUAAAUGCUGAUAAAAGGAUAACUCCGAGGGGUGGCGUCACGUGGCCUGCGCUAACAAAAACACUGGUUGACAUUUUCUCAUUCUACUUUGUUACGCUGCAUAUGUUCUAAGGGGGGAUUCUGUGGCACAACAGAUCAAGAAUAUAUAAGCAACAGUGAUCUAAACUUUCGCAUUAUUAAAUUAAAUUAUUCGUGCAAGAUUGUGUAAUACUACAAAGUACACAAUGUUCCUAAAUGCCAAAUUCUAUCAUGCCACUUACCUGUCAAUUUAAAAGUUUCAUUGCCAGACUAUGUUGCACAUAAUAUGAAGAGGUUUUUGCCAAGUCAGCCAUUAACACAGUGUUGCCAAACCGCUUUAAAGAAGGCAUGACUCUUUUCACUUGACCAAGAGGAAGUUUUGUGUCAAGAUUUUCUGCUCACCUAAAGGAAGUUAAUAAUGACACUAAAUGUCUGUUUUUGGUUGAUCUAUUCAUUGUAUGUUGAGCUCCACUGGCCAUUUCAAUAGAAAAAAACGUGGAAGGAUGUCUAACCUUUACUGUAUAUUAACACACUUCUGCUCUCCUCUGUGCUGCGCUGGUUUGGAGAUUUUGUUGAUAAAACAACGGUAACACAUUCUCUUCAGGGACAUGCCAGGCCAUGUUCAUCAGGAUCAGACUAGAACUAAAAGCCGACAGAGGAAAACUUUAGCUAAUACAACCAUUUCGGUGUUUAUCAGUAGGCAACUGAGUAGGUUUUGAUCAGAAGUGAGAUUAAACCUUAUGAUAACGUUUAAAGUCCAAUGCCUUAAAAAUUGCAUUAAAUUAGGAUAAUACGAGAUGGUAAGGGACAGGGUUACUUUGAUGUAUUAAGUGUUAAUUUCAAAAGCAG